CCUUGCACUUCUCCUGUCAUCCUCUUUCCUUCCUGCCUACCACCAAUUACUUCAUAAAUAUAUGCCAGAGCUUAUUUUCCACAACUCUGCAAAAACAUCCUUUAGCCCCUGACCCAAGGGGUGAGAAAUCCAUUGUAAGUCUCACUCCUGGUUGUUGUUAUGGGAAUAAUGCCAAGGAGUUUUCCUAGCUUCAUUUCUUUGAUUUUAUUUCCUUUCCCAAACAGAGCAUGGCAUGUUUCAAAAUGUUUCCUUCUACAAGUAGAACUUGCCCUUGAAAUUUAGUCUUUUUGUGUCUACAACAAUCUUUUUCCUAUUUCCCUGACUUGAGCCAAAUAUGAGACAGCUUACUAGAAAGCCAAACUCAUUUCCUCCUGUACUACAACUCUUCCUUUCUGUAUGUAUACCUCUCUUUGAAAAAUAUCCCUUUUCCCGAACACACUUGAAAAACUCCCAGUGAGGUAGGGGAACUUUUCCCUUGCUAAUGGUUUUUAGGAUUACUUUAACUUAAUGCUACUGAAUACAAAAUAGUGUUCCGUUUAGUCAGGAUCCUGUGGGCAGGAGACUCUACCUUCCGGCUCUGUUCUGGGCUGAAUUGAGUUCCCCCACCCCCCAUUUUUAUGUUGAAGUUCUAACUGCCAGUACAUCAGAAUGUGACUGUAUUUGGAUAUAGGGUCUUAAAGAGUUAAUUAACUUAAAAUGAGGUCAUUGGGAUGGGCCCUAAUGCAAUAUAACUGGUGUCCCUAUAAGAAGAGGAGAUUAGGACACAGGCACAUACAGAGGAAAGACCAUGUCCAUUGGCAAGUGAAGGAGAGAGGCCUCAGAAGAACUAAUCCUGCCAACACCUUGGUCUCAGACUUCCAGGUCCAGAAUUCAUUGCAACAUCAAAACCAGACUUAAAUCAGUGCCAAAAGAAUUUACCAGCCACAAGGCAGAGAGAGGGAAGAUAAAACAGGUAGACUGUUCAGGAGGCAAGGAGGACGGCCUGUACUUGGGUAAUCGUGGUUACUGGCGUGCUCUCACGGUGGCUGAGUAUGUCAUUUUGUGACAGAACAACGCUGACUGCAGGGCGGUUGAGGACAAUCAGAAAAGAAAUCACUGGGUGUCUUGCUGUGAACCCCUAGUACCAGGGCAGGACACGCUCCCGAACUGGACUUCGGAGUAGAGACAGGAAAGCCCAAGAGGGCUAACUGCGGUCCUGCCUUCCUCCUUUGAUACAAUCCUAUGCCGAGGGUCCGCGACCGAGCUGGAGCUCUGCGCUGGCCCCUGAGAGCGCGGUAAGGAUCACGCAGUGGAGAGUCCAACUUAAGAA